rnacentral:rRNA from 1 species
AAUGAACGCUGGCGGCAGGCCUAAAACAUGCAAGUCGAACGCCCUAGCAAUAGGGAGUGACGCACGGGUGAGUAACAUGUGGGAAUAUGCCUUUUGGUACGGAACAACGUUUGGAAACGAACGCUAAUACCGUAUGGUCCCUCCGGGGUAAAGAUUUAUCGCCAAAAGAUUAGCCCGCACUAGAUUAGCUAGUUGGUAAGGUAAUGGCUUACCAAGGCGACGAUCUAUAGCUGUUCUGAGAGGAAGAUCAGCCACACUGGGACUGAGACACGGCCCAGACUCCUACGGGAGGCAGCAGUUAGGAAUAUUGGACAAUGGGCGCAAGCCUGAUCCAGCCAUGCCGCGUGAGUGAUGGAGGCCUUCGGGUUGUAAAGCUCUUUAGCCGACGAAUAUAAUGACUGUAGUCGGAGAAUAAGCCCCGGCUAACUUCGUGCCAGCCGCCGCCGUAAAAC